AUACGUAGGUGGCAAGCGUUGUCCGGAAUUAUUGGGCGUAAAGCGCGCGCAGGUGGUUCCUUAAGUCUGAUGUGAAAGCCCCCGGCUCAACCGGGGAGGGUCAUUGGAAACUGGGGAACUUGAGUGCAGAAGAGGAUAGUGGAAUUCCAAGUGUAGCGGUGAAAUGCGUAGAGAUUUGGAGGAACACCAGUGGCGAAGGCGACGGUCUGGUCUGUAACUGACACGGAGGCGCGAAAGCGUGGGGAGCAAACAGGAUUAGAUACCCUGGUAGUCCACGCCGUAAACGAUGAGUGCUAAGUGUUGGGGGGUUUCCGCCCCUCAGUGCUGCAGCUAACGCAUUAAGCACUCCGCCUGGGGAGUACGGUCGCAAGACUGAAACUCAAAUGAAUUGACGGGG
rnacentral:rRNA from 1 species